rnacentral:rRNA from 1 species
CCUACGGGUGGCAGCAGUGGGGAAUAUUGCACAAUGGGCGCAAGCCUGAUGCAGCCAUGCCGCGUGUGUGAAGAAGGCCUUCGGGUUGUAAAGCACUUUCAGCGGGGAGGAAGGCGUUAAGGUUAAUAACCUUGGCGGUUGACGUUACCCACAGAAGAAGCACCGGCUAACUCCGUGCCAGCAGCCGCGGUAAUACGGAGGGUGCAAGCGUUAAUCGGAAUUACUGGGCGUAAAGCGCACGCAGGCGGUCUGUCAAGUCGGAUGUGAAAUCCCCGGGCUCAACCUGGGAACUGCAUUCGAAACUGGCAGGCUAGAGUCUUGUAGAGGGGGGUAGAAUUCCAGGUGUAGCGGUGAAAUGCGUAGAGAUCUGGAGGAAUACCGGUGGCGAAGGCGGCCCCCUGGACAAAGACUGACGCUCAGGUGCGAAAGCGUGGGGAGCAAACAGGAUUAGAUACCCCAGUAGUC